rnacentral:rRNA from 1 species
GCGGCCCAUCAGCUAGUUGGCGAGGUAAUGGCUCACCAAGGCAAAGACGGGUAGCUGGUCUGAGAGGAUGAUCAGCCACACUGGUACUGGAACACGGACCAGACUCCUACGGGAGGCAGCAGUGGGGAAUCUUGGUCAAUGGGCGAAAGCCUGAACCAGCGACGCCGCGUGAGUGAUGAAGGCCUUCGGGUUGUAAAGCUCUGUGGGGAGGGACGAAAGAACUCGGUCGAAUAGGCCGAGCGUUGACGGUACCUCCUUAGCAAGCACCGGCUAACUCUGUGCCAGCAGCCGCGGUAAGACAGAGGGUGCAAACGUUGCUCGGAAUCACUGGGCGUAAAGGGCGUGUAGGCGGGAAGGAAAGUCGGGCGUGAAAGCCCCAAGCUCAACUUGGGAACUGCUCUCGAAACUGCCUUUCUUGAGUGUCGGAGAGGAAAGCGGAAUUCCUGGUGUAGAGGUGAAAUUCGUAGAUAUCAGGAGGAACACCAGUGGCGAAGGCGGCUUUCUGGACGAUAACUGACGCUGAGACGCGAAAGCGUGGGGAGCAAACAGGAUUAGAUACCCUGGUAGUCCACGCCGUAAACGAUGAGUGCUAGGUGUGGGGGGUAUUGA